CAUGAGGACAUUCAUCAUUCAACCUUGAAAGACAAACAAAUUUUGGCAUUUCAGUGUUUCCAAUACACUUCUUUCUACAGAAGGUAUGUCAUGAAUGACACUUUUAAGGCUUUCUAGCUUUUCAUAUUAUUUAUGGUAUUAGUGAAGGCAACUGUUGCUGUAACGGAAACCAACUCAAGGGCAGGACAGAAGCCAAGAAUCCGCAAGCACACAUGAAUCUCUCUCAUUCUCUUCUGGGCUUCUUCAGUGCAUCUGCUGGUUUCUUGCCUCUUGGUACUACGUCCCUGGGUCUUUCAUUUUUCCAUUCAUGGAGCAGCCCCCACUUACAAACAGCUGCUUCCUGUUUUUGCUGUUGUUGUUAUUGUUGGCUUUACUAGCAGAAUCUAAGUGGGUUUUUUUUAAUGUUUAUUUAUUUUUGAGAGAGAGAGCGUGUGCAAUUGGGGGAGGGCAGAAACAGAGGGAGACACAGAAUCUGAAGCAGGCUCCAGGCUCCGAGCUGUCAGCACAGAGCCUGAUCUGGGGCUCGAACUCAUGACCUGUGAGAUCAUGACCUGAGCUGAAGUCGGAUGCUUAACUGACUGAGCCACCCAGGCGCCCCUAACUGGCUAUUUUUAAAGAUUCUUGCUUAAUUUCCACAAUAUUCAGAAACAUUUGGUUUAUUAAACCAACCUAGGGUCCAAGUUUUGAAUCUGAAAUAAUUUUUCCCUUUUUUUUCACCUGUUAAGAGUUUUUAAAUAAAAACUUAAAAACCAAACAAACCCUCAAAUGCAGUAGCAGUAUGCUUGGAUUUGUUUCACCCAUACUGAGUUUUAAGCAAACAACAUAGCUCUUCUCAGGCCUACUCCACUCUGGCUUAAAUGGAGAUGACUUAUUUCACCAUUAUUAAAGAAGUGAAAAGAUCCUAACUAGAUAGGAUGGGGUAUAGCUUUGAUUGGCACUUCUAAUUUAGUUCAAGGAACCCAAACAGCUGAAUCAAAGGUAGACCAACUCUCCAUUAAAGGCAAGUGUCCUCCCUCUAGCCAAAGCCAGCCAGCCCAAGUGAGGAGGAGGAGGAGGAGGAAGAUGUCUGGAGCAGGAAGUUACAGCCUGGGGGGCUCUGGGCAAAAUCUUAAGGAGGAUUAUUUUUCUUCCUCAUAUUCAACUACUGUGUUCCCAGCCUCUCUUUGUUUCUUUCAGUCACGUCUAAAUCUGAAAUAUGCUUUGGGGCCUGGAAUUUAAAUUUACCCUAAAUUUCCUAAUGAGUUUUGCUUAGACUGAAGCAUAAGUGUUGAUGCUUAGCAUGAUAAUGAAGACAUAAUCAUUAAUUGGAGGAGAACACAGGUAAGAUGUUUUAUGUUGAAAGAGAUGAGGGAAGAGAGUCUGGAUACUGUGUGAAGAGACCAAGGGUAUGAUCUGGAAUGUGAGGUUAAAAUACAGCCUGAGGGGGGCGCCUGGGUGGCGCAGUCGGUUAAGCGUCCGACUUCAGCCAGGUCACGAUCUCGCGGUCCGUGAGUUCAAGCCCCGCGUCAGGCUCUGGGCUGAUGGCUUAGAGCCUGGAGCCUGUUUCCCAUUCUGUGUCUCCCUCUCUCUCUGCCCCUCCCCGGUUCAUGCUCUGUCUCUCUCUGUCCCAAAAAUAAAAAUAAACGUUGAAAAAAAAAAAUAAAAAAAAAAAAAAUAAAAUACAGCCUGAGAGGGCUUCCGCCCAAACCCAGAAAGUGUCCCCAUUUCUGCUAAAGAAAUACAUCCAAGCAGUUCUUUUGCAUCCCACAUGAGGUUACGAAAUAGGGAUGGCUUUGCUGUAGUUCACAAAUAAUUUGAAAUGUAAAUGCCUUCUCUGAAACACUAUGUUUCUGUCAUCACCCAUUUCCCAUUAAUGCAACCAUGGCUUCCAUGACAAGUAUUCACAGACUUCUCAACUAGUGAACAAGCCUCUCAUUCUUGCCGUUUUGCAGGUUGGGAGGCUGCUGUAGCUGGUGCUUAGGUUCGUAGGCUCUGGAACCAGACCACCUGAUUUGUCCUGCUGGCCCCUCCAUGUAAGCAGGGCAAGUUACUAAACUUUCUGUGCAAUAGUCUUGUCUUCUGAAAAGUGGGAAUAAGAGUAACAAUGCCCAAUUCACAGGAGGUUCAAAGAAAUUCAACAAACAUUCUUUAGACAAGUGCCUAGCAAACUCUAAAUUCUUGCUGCUCAUAAAUAUUUCUAGAAAUUAUCUCACAAAAAUCAAUGAACUUUUACAUACAUGAGGAAAAUUUAAAGUUUGACAGUAUAGAAAAAAAUUAUAAAUCUUGAUUUUAAAAGUAAAAAUCACCUUUUACAAGUUGCUUUGUGGCCCAAAUCUGGUAAGAGUUAAUGUCUGAAUUACAUUUAGGGCUCUCAUAAAGAAACAGUAACCCUUGCCUUGUUUUCAAGGUCAGUGUGUUUUAGAGAAAUAAACCUCUUGGCGUCAGUCUGAAGGGGAACAGAAUAUGCUCCCCCCCAAAUAUGUCACUUUGGCAUAUCAAUUGUUUUGAAUUAAAGUUACUUAAGAAAUAGCUGGUUCAAGAAGGACAUUCUGACCUCCUUUGUCCUCUGAAAACAGGAAAUAAUAUCCCAAGUGAAAGUUACCUUCCCUGUACCAGGAAGAAGACAGGCAUCCUUAUCAGCAGAGCAGAGAUAAGGAAUUUAGGGCUGAGAAGGCUGUGUAAACAAUCCUUGUUACUGCUUUACUAAUUUAUUACCCUAAAUCCAAAUCCCUUUGUCUUGUCUAUUCUUCACAAAGUUAUUGUUUCUUUGUCUAAAAGGUAUACAAGCUGCUUGAUCUAGUCCCUUCUUUGAGUCUCAUAUUUUUUAUGAACUCCUGUACACACAAAAUUAAAUUUGUUUUUCUCCUGUUAAGCUGUCUUAUAUCAGUUUAAUUACUAGGCCAGCCAAAGAACCUAGAAAAAAGGAGUGAAAAGUUUUCCUCCUGUACAAGGUUUUUAGUGGCCACAAUUUCUUGUAACCGUGAAAAACAGGGUGAAGCAUCCUCUUCACCAAGUCAUCCUGGGUCAUGGGACUCACUAGCCAGUUCUACAGCCAAGCAUCUGCUGGCGCAAACCUAUUACUUUUUUUCCCUUUUUCUUAACUGAGAUAGAUCUGCUGUGCUGACUGGAUACAAAAAUUUCAGUUUCAUCCAGUGUCAAAUAUUUUAGGCUUAUAAAAGCAUGUUUUACAAACAGAAAUUCGGUAAGUCUAGAGUUACGGUAUCAAAAAAGAGGAAGUUCCCAUCACCUUUGGUCAUUCAAAAAGCCAACAUAUUGAAUAUUUGGGAGCUCUCUUGUCUUUUACUUUAUGGAAUGAAUGAGAGGAUAACUUCAAGAAUGAUGAGGCCAUGGGACAUGUAAAUUCAAUGAGAGAACACACCAGAAAAGGAGUUUGGAGAGAAUCCAAGAAAUCUUGGUAUGGAAAACAUGACACCAGAAAAGAAACUGGUAUUUACAAAAGAUGGGCAGCUUGGUCAUUAGAUGUAGAAUGUAAUUUCUAUUAAUAAUAAAAAGAAAUAUUUUUAUGUUAUAGUAUAAUUUUAAAAAUUGUUUUACAUAGGUCAAAACUUAAAAAGGUGAAAAUGAAAGCAGAUGGAGAUGUUGGAGGAUGAGAUCAUGAGAGAAUGCUCUUUUUCUUUAUUUUUGAUCUUAUCUGUUUUGGACAAUAAACUUAAAAGCAUAAAAGUUAUAGGAAAAUAUUGUUUUCCCUUUAUUAAUUUGAAUGUUGCUGAAGGCAUCUCAUUAGCAAAGAACUGAAUUUAAAUUUAACUGUAAACAUUUCACUGCUGACCAUUAAAAGUCUUUCUAAUUGAAAAUGGAUCUGAGAAUUUGAAAUAGCCCUGAAGGAUUCAAAGAGUACCCCUUAAGAGUUACAUUCAAUUCAUCAUUUCAGCAGGUUUUUAGGCUAUAAGUACCUCCAAGGGGCUAUACAUUCAAGGGAAAAAGUGAACUGUCAAACUUAAAAGUGCAUCUUAAUUGCUUCAGAAAUAAAAAUAAUUUUAGAAAAUAAACAUCUUUGGUUCCCAACUACUAACAUUAAAACAUCUAUUUUAAAUGCCCUAAAUUUCCAUGUCAUUGGUUUAAAGCUGAUCUUGUCAGCAAAUAAACAUUGAGAACAAAUACAAUACAUUAAGACUUAGGAAUCCAAUGGAAAUCCAAUGGUAAAGGUAGGGAACAUUCAAGAGAUAAAUUACACAUCAGCAGAGAAAAGUGGCUCUAUCUCCCCCUCUUAAAUCGCAAUGAACCUUUCAGCCCUGAACUUUUUCUCAACUACUAGUUGUUUUCCAGCCAAUUUGCCUGCCAAAGAUGAAUAGGAAGAUUAGUGAAAAUGUAUGCUUACUAAAUAAGUUAGAAUGGGGGCGCCUGGGUGGCGCAGUCGGUUAAGCGUCCGACUUCAGCCAGGUCACGAUCUCGCGGUGCGUGAGUUCGAGCCACGCGUCAGGCUCCGGGCUGAUGGCUCAGAGCCUGGAGCCUGUUCCUGAUUCUGUGUCUCCCUCUCUCUCUGCCCCUCCCCCGUUCAUGCUCUGUCUCUCUCUGUCCCAAAAAUAAAUAAAACGUUGAAAAAAAAAUUUAAAUAAGUUAGAAUGGUUAUAAAACAUUUGAUAUUAUCAGCUUGGUCAUGAGUGCAAUAGAUAGGGUCACACUACAAAAAUGGUGACCAACUCUACCUGGGGCUUCAAGGAAUGUUUCACAGCUAAGAUGGAAAAAUUAAUUUUCUCUUAUAGACCAAUAGCCACAGAUGAUGGCUAUUGCUAGAGUCUGCUUUGAGUGGGAUUAUGAGGUUGCCUCCAAAAUUAAUCAGUGUUGUUUGACAUAGUCAUGAGGUGGCUGUGUGUGUGUGUGUGUGUGUGUGUGUGUGUGUGUGGUAGGUGGAGCUGUAAUAAUGGCUUAAGGGCAAAUAUUUUACAUCCUACAACAUCUCCUUCAUGCCAGGCCUAAUUACCUGCAGUAUCCUUAAUGUACCCUACUUUCUCUAAUCCCUCUGCCUUUGCUUGUGCUAGCCCCACUGCCUGAUAUACCCCCCUGGGUCUGGGUUCACUGCUAGGUGGCUCUGUGAGUUCCAAGUCAAGACUUGGCAACAUGAGUAGAGACAGACAACUCUCCUCUUUCUGAUCCAGACCAAAAACAAUUAAGGAAAUAUAAAAAUAGGGACAAAGCACACAUCAACCCUGGAAAUGAACCACUGAAAAACCAGAAAUUUCAAGAACUAUCUGCUGAGUGCAGUACUGAGAGGUCCAGAUUGAGGAAUAGCACAGAGUCUGCUGUGCAAUUCAUCACACUAUGGAAACAGCCUAAUCUCUCAGAAAACUAGGUGGGGGGAAAAAAUAUCUCACAACUCCUUGUUUGGAAGGACCAACACAGGCUGUGAGAUAGAUGGGAGGCUUUGGGAGCAUCAGUUCGGCCUGGCUUACUCAUAGUGUUAGUAGGGAGGGUGUUAAGGGUAUAGGAAAGAUCCCAGAGUAAGGACAGCCCCACUGAGCAGGGCCAACCAUGGAAUGGGAGUGCACAAUGCACCUGAAAUACAACUGGAACUCCAGCCAAGCUAUGUUGAGGGGUCAGGAUGUAAGCAGAGUGGGUCUACACCUAACGAUGAUCCUUGUUUAUUUCUUCCACAGAAAAAAAUGAUUUAUUUUUUAAUUAAAAAUAAUAAUAAAUACAGCUGAUCCUUGAACAACAUGGGUUUGAACUACAUGGGUCCACAUAUAUGCAGAUGUUUUUGAUAUAGUACAGUACUAUCAAUGCAUCUUCUCUUCCUUAUAAUUUUCCAAAUAAUAUUUUCUUUUCUCUAGCUUUCCUUAUUGUAAGAAUAUAGCAUAUGACACAUAUAACAUAUAAAAUGUGUUUAUUGACUGUUUAUGUUAACAGCAAGGCUUCCAGUCAACAAUAGGCUAUUAGUAAAGUUUUUGGUUAUACGCAGAUUUUCAAGUGUGUGGGAGGUCAGUGCUCCUAACUCCCCCAUUGUUCAAGGCUCAGCUGUAGAAGUAUUCUUAUAGUUGAGGAAAACCUGGGGUGCCAGGGUGGCUCAGCUGGUUAAGCUUCGGACUCUUGGUUUUAGCUUGGGUCAUGAUCUCACGGUUCAUAGGAUCGAGCCCAGACCUGGGUUCUGCACUGGCAAUGUGGAGCCUCCUUGGGAUUCUCUCUCUCCCUGUCUCUCUGCCCCUCCCUGGCUUGCACUCUCUUGCUCUCUGUCAAAAUAGAUAUAUAAACUUAAAAAAAAAAAAAAAAAAAAGGAAGAGGUAGUGAAAAAAACUCUUUCAUUAGUAAAAAACAGAAAACAAAAAAGGAAAACCAGAAAUGUAUAAAGUACAAAGCAUGUCUGUCUAGUUCUUGCCCAACAUAUACAUGCACCCACGAAAUAAACUUUCAAAAGAUCACUUUUUAUGGUCUGUUUUAUAAUACUCCAAAAAUGUUGUAUAUGUGUCAGAUUAAAUAAAUCUAUACUCACAUAUUGAAUAACUGGGUUCAUACUGUUUUGCAAUCUGGUGUUUUUACUCAAAAUAUAUUUUGGAAAUCAUGACAGCACAUUUUAAUCUUUUUAUGGCUAUAAAGUAUUCUUUUGUAUAAAUGUACCAUGAUCUACCUAAUUUGUAAUUUAUGAACGUAUAAGUUGUUCCCAAUGUUUCUGCAAAUAUAAACAAUGUUGCUGUUGCACAUGUGUAACUAUUUCUAAUGGACAAAUGCUUAAAUGUACACUCAUUUGCUCAAGGAACACAUAUAUUUUUAAAUUGAAUAGAUAUCGUCAAACUCAAACUCCCUCCCACAAUAUAUACAAUAUAGGAGAGACCUUUCCCUCCUAUAUUAGAGGAAUAUCAUCCAUCUAAAUGCCUAACAGCAGAGUACUGCUUAAGGCAAUCACGUCAUACCUAUAUGAGGAUAUGUAUAUAAAUAGUUAAAAUUAUGGUAUAAAAGAAUAUUUGAGCAUGUAAGAAUACUCUGAUGAUAUUGUCAAGGAAAAAAAGAAAGAUGCAAAAAAGAAUAUAUAGUAUGACACUAUUCUUAUGAACCUUUUGUAAACUUUACUUUUUUUUCCACUAAUAAAAUGAGGAUAGUAAUGCCCAUCCUACUUUGAUAGGACUAAACCAAGGUAAUUUCCUUGGGAAUGAUACGUGAACCAUAAAGUUUCUGACAAAUUACAAGAUCCCCUAUUUGAAACUCAUGCUGACAUUUUCACAAAACCUCUGUCAAUGGAGACCAAAUCCACUGGGUUUAGUACCCAGAAGGCCCAUAGGAGGUAUCGUGAAUGGAACACAGUUUUUGCUCUGGCCAUAGGCUGCCUCAUACUAUUGGCAAACAUGGAGACCUUGAGGACUUACACACUCAACAUAGCACAGCCUGCAUGGGUUGGCAGGGGUGUGAGUUUUCCCUCAAGAGCUCUGCCGGGCUCCUUUUCUUCACUAUCACAACCUACCACUUCUAAGAGUGGUCACCUUUUCCAGAGAGCUCUUCUGACCACCCAGGUCUUGAACUAUUUUUUCUUUUCUUACAUUCUUCUACACAACUGAAUACCCUAUCACCCAAUGCCUUACACAGGUUUUGUGGAUUUUUUUUCUGGUGUGUUUUUGUUUCAUUGUUUAUAAGCAUACAUAUGCUUAUUCACUAACCAUUUAUUAGCAAGCAAGUGUAAAAGUAACAAUUACCUGACCACCAUUAGGGUGACCGUGUCCUUUGUCAUCCAAACCUGGAUAUGUUUGAGAAACAGGACACUGUUAACAAAUACACAAGGACAGCAGUCAUAAACAGGGACUCCCCACAGAGUCUAACUUGGGUUUGUUGAAUCUCAGCUUUCAUUUGUGAUGCAGUCAUGAUCACUAACAUGUUCAGUACAAGGUUCAAAUGAAGCCAAUGCUAAGAUUCCAGAGGCAAGAUUUUGUCACUCUUUUAGUUGACAGAAUGUCAAAGGUAUGACUGGCUAUGACUAGACACUGGGUUGCUUCAGAAGAUAGUCCAAGCCAAUAUCCUUAAGGUCUUGCUAGACACUUAUAAGUAACUUGUUCAUUAAAAGAUGCAGGAUCUCUCCAGACCCAUGCUCAUGAAAUUAAUAUGCGUAUGAUCCACCGAGGGAUCUUGUUAAGUGAAGAUUCUUACACAGCAAUCUUGUGUCAGGGCCUGACAUUCUGCAUUUUUGACAAGCUCCCAGGUCACACAGGCAUUUAAUGUGUUGUGCAUGUAUGUCACUUUGAGUCAGACAGAUUCAGUCCAAAUCUUUGUCCUACCAUGGACCCAUUUGACCUGUGUGAUUUUAGACUAAUUAUUUCACCUCUCUGGGCCUCAAUUUCUUCAUUUGAAAUAUGAGAAUCAUUGAAUUUAUCUUAUAAGAUUAUGAAUGUAAAAUACCUUACACACCUUGGGUAUUCCUGGGUGGCUCAGUCAGUCGAGCAUCUGACUCUUGAUUUUGGCUCGGGUCACGAUCCCAGGGUCAUGGGAUCAAGCCCUGAGUUGAGCUCCAUGCUUAGCAGAGAUUAAGAUUCUCUCUCUCUCGGGGCGCCUGGGUGGCGCAGUCGGUUAAGCGUCCGACUUCAGCCAGGUCACGAUCUCGCGGUCUGUGAGUUCGAGCCCCGCAUCAGGCUCUGGGCUGAUGGCUCAGAGCCUGGAGCCUGUUUCUGAUUCUGUGUCUCCCUCUCUCUCUGCCCCUCCCCUGUUCAUGCUCUGUCUCUCUGUCCCAAAAAUAAAUAAACGUUGAAAAAAAAAAAAAAAAAGAUUCUCUCUCUCUCUCUCCCUCUGCCCUCUCCCCCACUCAUGCUUUCUGUCUCUCAAAUUGAAAAAUAAUAAUAAUAGUAACUUACACAGUGUCUGCCAUAAUAUAACGUGGCAACAAAUGUUAGCAUUGUUAUUAUCGAUAUUGUUAUUUCUGCUCUUAUACUUAAAGUCAAUGAUUAGGUCUUAUCCCUACAACAUUAAGGAUAUAAUAUCUCUUAUAAAUGAAUUUAUCUAGAUUUCUGUAUCUUUUGUAAAUCUGGUCCAGUAUUAUUUUCUUCAGAUAACAAAUGAAAAGGCAAAUACUUCUGUGGGGAUAGAAGAUGAGAGGUGGGAAGUUCAAGUGGGAGGAAACAGCAGAAACAAAGAAUACCAUCCUUCUCAAGAAAAUAUGCCCCAGACCUGAGGCAUUAUUAACCAGGCCAAAGUGCGUCAGAAGGAAAACAAAAAUAAAAUCUUCACAGCAGAAUCUAAAACAAUGAGAGCUGAGAUAUACAAAAAUAUCUCAAGUCCAAGUUGAACCCUUUGGCAUUUGUAUCACAUUAUGAGCAGUUCCCAGAUAUUGUACUGCCCUCUUAAUCAGCCAAGCAAGUGUCAUUCAGAGUUUAGGUCUGCACAAAAUGUCUGGGCUAAAAUGUGACUUAACGAUGUCAGAGACUCUCAAAGCAGUUUACAAGGAGUGAAGCAAAACAACGCUUCCAGUCUCCAGGGUGCUUAUACUCAGAGGAGAGGUACUGAAGCAUACAGGAAAAUGUGCAGCAAUUGUUCUCAGUUUUAGAAUGAUUUAAACAACUUCAAAACCAUCCUUUGUUUCAUAUAGCCCUACCUGCAUGUUUUUAGCCCAGUCGUGGGAGAAACAAGUGGACCGUUUUUAUUUUUAUUAUUUUCAGCAUAUUUACUUUGAGAGAGCACAGAGGAAGGGCAGAGAGAGAGAGAGAAUCCCAGGCAGGUUCCAUGCUGUCAGCGCGGAGCCCAAUGUGGGGCUCGGACUCACGAUGGUUGAGAUCAUGACCUGAGCCGAAACCAAGAGUUGGACACUUAACCGACUGAGCCACCCAGGCGCCCCGGACAGAUUUAAAAUAAAUCCCUCCUUUGUGGCUGGUAACAAGUUGCAUCUGAGCAGGGCUGCUAAUUGGUAAUGUUAUAGACACAUGGGGCCAACAAGGUCUCCUGAGCAGUGAUCAACAGACCUGAUGUCUAAUAAGAAAGGGAACAUUGGGGAUUAAUACUAGAAUGUAUCUAUUUUAAAAGGAUACAUUUAAAAGAGUAAGCCAUGAAAUGAUUCCAUCUUCUUACUCACAUAAAGCACAAACUGUAUUUUAAUGCUCUAUACUUAGCAUUCAAUAAGUUGAAAUAUAUAGUAUGAAAUUAUUUUAACCCCACUAAGUGCUUUGAUACAAAACUGACUGCUCAAGGAACUCAAAUUCAUUAGCUUCAUUCAAGUUUCGGGUUUUCUUAGACUCGGUUAAAUUUGAUAUUUCAGGUGGUAAGAAGAACUAGCUUUACAGCAGGAUUUUAGUGCCAUGUUGGGUGUUCUGUUUAAAUAUUUGCCUACUUACUAACCAUAAUCAAUUGCAAAAAUACAACUGAUGCACUCUGAUCAUGCUCGGAAGCUUAAUUCCUCCUACAACAGAGUGAAAGCUUAAAGGUUGGGAGGGGUGCAGUAAAAGGGAAAGAAGAAUCCUUUUACCCUGUGUGGAGUCGGCAGCGAUGCCCAGGCUUUGCAUUCCUUAUGCUACCGUGUGUCUGGGGUCAGCUGCUCAGUAGCACUGCUGCUAAAAAUAGCCACAGCCUGGACAUUACAGCACCUAGACAAUUCCUAGACCAGGUAACGUUAUACCCUCAGCUUCCAAAGCCCUCCUGGCAUAUUAAAGGAUUUGUGCACAUGCUCCCCCCCCCAAUAGAAAACUCUGGGAAGACAAUGAUAUAGGAAGAGGCAUCCUUGUGCACAUCCGGCCUCAUCCUUCACCUGGGAGGAAAUCUUGGGGUUUGGGUCCAUUUUUAUUUGCCUUAAUUAAUUGUUUUGAAGUUUUUUAAAGUGUCCAUUGUAAAUUCACAUAAAGUCACCAUGAGUGUUCACUCCAUUUUAUCCUAAAAGAAAAUAAUGUUUGGAGGUACAUUAUACAUAAAGCUUUUACAGUGUAAGAAAAAAUAUACCUUAAUCAGUCAUAACUAUAUCAUGCCUAUCGAUGUCCUUUGGGUUUAUUUCUUGAUAAGUGAGAUUUUAUAAAAUCUCAUUAAUUUUCAUAUUUUAAACCUGUAUGUCACAUUAAGUCACAAAGCUACAACUUUGUAUAUUCAAGAUUUAGAGGAUAAACCUCUUUACUUUGUAAAUUCAGCAUACUGCUUUCUGCUAUCGUUUCUUUCUACCACCUAAAUGGAGACUCUCAUUCUGUUUCAGUGUUAGAAAAGUCAAGGCGAAACUCAGCUAUCUCAAGCAUAACUAAAUAACUGGUUAAACCUACCCAUAAAAUAAUGUUUGGAGGAAACUACAUUUGACAAAAGAUUUCAAUAGUCUCCAUCUUUAAAAAGAUUCAAGAGACUUCAUGGCUGUCCUAGAGUUUGGCAAUUCAUAUGCCUGGAUGCAUAGAAUUGAAUGAGAAGAUCUUUAAGGAUCCUUCUGAGCUCCUGGAUCUGCAGAACCUCAGGAGUAGAAGCAAACUAGGAGUUUUUUACCAGAUAGAAUAGCCUAUUCUUAGUGCACAGAAUCUAGCUUGUCUUUGUUGCAGCAAUGCCUCUAACAGAGCCCACAGCUGUCUAGAGCCCUGUUCAUAAAUUAACACUGGGCGAGUGCCUGCCACACACACACGGCAUUAUGUUAGGUACUAGGAGGAAGGAAAGAUGGACACAGGUCCCACCCUGAAGAAGUACAGGUAGUGGGAAAGGAUUAAGUACCUAUUUUCAAGUUUGCUACAUGAAGCAAAGGCUAUGCAAAAGAUACCAGAGACAUAAAACAGCCAACUUUCUAAAAAUAUACAUAUGAACUAGCAUAAUCUACCAUAAAAGAAAGGUGGGUGGAACUACAAAAAUAAACAUAUAGCCACAUAGAUCACACAUAUUUACAUAUAUAUAUAUAUAUAUAUAUAUAUAUAUUCUGUAUAAAACACAUAUAUAUUCUGUAUAAAAUACAGAAACAAGGCCAGAUAUUCAGAGUGAGAAUCUGGAUUUGGUCAAAUUAAGAUUAUUUUUCUUUUUAUAUUACCAUAUUUUCUAAAUAUUCAAAAUUGAGUGGCUUUUACCUUUAUAAUUUAAAAAAUGUUAUUUAAAUAUAAAAUAAACUUAAAUCUGGACUCUCAAACUUUUUCAUAUUUUUUAAAGCUCGUUUAUCUCCAAGGAAUUUGAAAGCACAUUUCUAGUCUAGAAAUCAAAUAAAAAAUGUAACUAAUGGAAUAAAUCCUGCAUUUUGGACAUCGUAUCUAAUCUACCUUAUUAACAUGAUGAAAGAAGAACAGAAAAUAAUGUUACAAUUUGUAUUCUGGUCUAAAAUCUUUCUGGGCUUCCAGACAUUAUGAUGAUGAAUAUUUUAAAUGCAUGCAUGAAUGAACCAAAAUUUAAUGUAAAAUUAUAAGUGCUUCUAUCACAAAUACAACCAGCUGUGUUUGGAAUUUAUGUCUUGAUAUUUUCAAAAACCAACAAAUUUAAAUGCAUCAUAGAAGCUAAUUACUUCCACAACCCAUUUCCUGUGGCCAGUGACAGAGAAAAAUUUGCAGAUAAAGCCAGAUUUAUUUACUCUCACUGUCUUAUUCAACAAACCUACAAAAAUAUUUGUUACUUGUCAGUCACUAUGCUGAAUACUGGGAAUUCAAAAAAGUAACAUGAGUAAUUAAUAAACAAUCUGAUUUUUAAAAUGUACAAAACACAUUAUGUAUUUUGUAUGCAUUAUGUAUUCACCCAAAUGACCCAAAUAAGAAGACCAACCUUACCAAGUAUUGGUGAGGCUGUGGACCAACUGCAAGUCUCAUUAAUGGUGGGACAGUAAAAUACUACCACCUUUUUGGAAAACUAUUAGACAAUUUCUUUAUUUUUUUCUUUUUUUCUUUUUUUUUAAUUUUUUUUUUAACGUUUAUUUAUUUUUGAGACAGAGAGAGACAGAGCAUGAACAGGGGAGGGGCAGAGAGAGAGGGAAACACAGAAUCUGAAACAGGCUCCAGGCUCUGAGCAGUCAGCACAGAGCCCGACGCGGGGCCCGAACCCACGGACCACGAGAUCAUGACCUGAGCCAAAGUCAGACGCUUAAACGACCAAGCCACCCAGGCGCCCCAGACAAUUUCUAAUAAAGUGAAGCAUAUGCCUCCCCUACAACCCUGCAAUUCUACCCCCAGAUACAUACCCCGGAAAAAUGAGUGCAUGUGUCACCAAAAAAGACAUGCACAAGAAUUCAGUAUCAGCUUUAUUCAUAAUAGCUCAAGACUGGAAACAAUUCAAAUAUUCAUCAACAGGAAAGUGAUAUAUUCAAACAAUGGAAAAAUAAUUAGAGCAACCAGUAAAUACAGUGACACAAAAAAACCUCAUGCUGAGCACAAGAGUACACACUGAAUGUUUCCAUUUAUUUGAAAUUCAGGAAUAGGCAAAACCAAUCUAUACAAUAAAAGUCAGAAUAGUGGUUGGGGGGCAGGGCAAAACACGACUUUUGGCUGAGAAGGAGUGGAAGAGAACUUUCUGGGGUGAUUGAAAUAUUCUACAUCUUGAUCUAGAUUAGUAGCUACAUGGGUGUAUAUGUAAGUAGAAAGUGAGCUGUACAGUAAUGAUGUGUGCAUGUUACUGCAUGACAAUUAUACCUCAACUAAAAAAAAAAAAACAAACAUGAUUCAGUCCCUAUCUUCAAGAAGUUAUAAUGGUAGGGAACUAACAGUAGUACAAUGUGGUAAGAGCAGCAAUAUACGUAGUGAAUGGAGUAUCCCUGGAGCUCAGAGGAAGAUCAAGGAAUGGUGUCUGGGGACAGCUCAAAGGCACCAUAAGUAAGUAUGGAAUUGGUGUUUGAUUAUGACCCCCACACCAGUGAAGUCUCUCAAGGAUAUCGCCAUUUUUCCGAUUUACUGGUAUGUUGGUAUCAUUUUUCAAAAUAUAACUAAAUUUUCAUCCCAAACAAUCCACCACAGGUAUCGUAGGCAUUAUUGAUUUGUCUUUAGUCUUCAUUUGCCAUGUUUUGUCACACAGUUCAAUUUACUCUGACAUAUGUGUGUUGGCUCUUUAGAGUCCCUUGUACUGGUGUGCUGGAGCAGGCACAGAGACAGGUGAGACAGAAUUCCAGCUUUCAAGGAGUAUAUACUUUUUCAAAAUACCUCUCUUAUCCAUCUCUUUUCCACUUCCACUGACCCUGUCUAAGACCAGUUCUCUUUCCUGCCACACCCAGAGAUGUCAUAACAGAAUCCCACCUAGUGCCCCUAGUUCCCAGGCCCAGGUGUCAUGUCACAGCCAUUCUCAUUAAGUUUCUUUGAUGUUCUAAAUCCUUCGGUGACUCUCCAGAGCUAAUACAUCAAAUGUAAACUCUUUGUCGUGGUGCAUAAAGCCCUCCACAAUCUGGUUCCCUCAAUAUUACUCCAGAAAGGGUAAUGUCUACUAAGAGGUAUUGUGAAGACACAUGAGAGAAAAGCAAUUCUUAGCUUACAUUUCCUUCAAAAAAAUUUUUUUUUAAUUUUAAAAAAAAAUUUUUUUAAUAUUUAUUUAUUUUUGAGACAGAGAAAGACAGAGCAUGAUUAGGGAAGGGGCAGAGAGAGAGGGAGACACAGAAUCGGAAGCAGGCUCCAGGCUCUGAGCUGUCAGCAAAAGAGCCCGACGCAGGGCUCGAACUCACGAACUGUGAGAUCAUGACCUGAGCCGGAGUCGGACGCUCAACCGACUGAGCCACCCAGGUGCCCCUAAUUUUUUAAAUGUUUGUUUAUUUUUGAGAGAGAGACAGACAGACAGAGUGCAAGCAUGACAGGGGCAGAGAGAGAGGGAGACAUAGAAUUCGAAGCAGGCUUCAGGUUCUGAGCUGUCAGCACAAAGCCCAACGCAAGGCUCUAACCCAUGAACCAUAAGAUCAUGACCUGAGCCCAAGUCAGAUGCUUAACCGACUGAGUCACCCAGAUGCCUCCUUCAAAAACAAUUUUUUAAUGGAGACUUUACGUUGAUUUUUUAAAUGUGUCAUAACAAUUCUAGGUAUGAUACAUACUGGAUGUGUCUACAGGGAAAUCUGCUCUAGUCUCAAUGUGAUUGUUCAUUCAUUUGAAAAUCAUUUACUCCUUGGGGCACCUGGGUGGCUCAGUUGGUUAGGCGUCCAACUUUGGCUUAGGUCAUGAUCUCACAAUUCAUGAGUUCAAGUCCUGCAUCCACCUCUCUGCUGUCAGCAUAGAGCCCACUUCAGAUCCUCUGUUUCCCUCUCUCCCCCCCACUUGCACUCUCUAAUUCUCUAAAAAAUAAAUAAACAUAAAAAAAUAAUUUACUCAUCAUUUUCUCUGCUCUGUAUUAGAGAAAAUGCAGGAAAGACCACUCUACUUUCAAUGAGGGAAAGUCCAACAUCUCAAACUUAUAUACAUACUCUCUCUCUCUCUCUCUCUCUCUCUCUCUCUUUUUCUUUCUUUUAACUUGAUGAACUCCUUCUACCCUACAGGGACAAGCACAACUAACACCCACAAUAGAGUUCCCUGGUGCAGUCAUAAUUUCCCAAAAAAGAUACAUUAAGUGGGAUAUUGGAGAGUGUCCUAAAAGACACUUAGUUUAUCAAAUAUUGAAAGAGGAGGAGGAGGAGGAGACAGAGAAGCAGAAAGAGGAGGAUGAAGGGGAGGAAAAGAAGAAGAAGGAAGAGGAGGAGGAGGAGAGGAGAGGGAGAAGGAUGGGAUUGGGAGAAGGGGAGGAGCAGGAGGGGGAAGGGGAGGAUGGAGAGGGAAGAAGGAGGGAGAGAAGGAGGAAACCUUGAAAGGGUCAAUCUGUUGCUCUCACCCAUAGGACCUUUGAGGUCCUUUCUUCUUUCUUUAUCUCACGUUCUUCUUUCAUUAUCUCAGAUUUUAUAGUCAUUAUGCCCUUAGAUAUCAGAAUCUAAUAAAUGUCACAAACCCAACAUCAUUAUUUAAAAACAAGGCAUUGCCGCUGUAAGCAAGACAGCUUAUAUACAUGGCAGUAUCUUUUAAAAUACUCUGAUUUUUCUUUUGCUAGGAAUACCACACAAGGAUCUUUUAUCAGCAUCUACAGUGGGUAAUGUCUACCAGAGAAGCAAAAAUAUAGUUAGCAGGUUUGCUUUUCUGUCAAAAGUGAUCUAGUUGAUCAUUGUUACACGUUCGCCAUUGACGUUUUGCAUCUUUUUUCUACUCUCCGUUCUAGUCACAGCCUUCUGGCAAUAUGAUGUUUUCAAGCACAGAUUUGAUAUGCAUGAGCCAUCAGUUUUUCCGGUGAUUCAUAAUCUGUAAUUUUAGAAAGAUUUGGUUCUUUAUCACUUGCCUCACUUUAAUAAAAGAUCUUUGGUAGUAUUUUCUAAAGGUCUUUUGGAGACAAAAUCCCCUAAACAAUUUCCAGUCUGUGAAAGUGACAAACUCAUUUAAAUAAUCAGUUCAGAACAGCAUUUCUGUUUAUGGGUAAGAAUGCUGCUCUGAUAUUUAAAGUGGUUUAAGGAAAUUCAACCAGUGAAUAUAAAAUUAAGCAUAAUUGCCUCGUCUCUGAGAGGGCACAGGGGUGCAGGGAAACUGGCAAGUCAGAAGCCAUGUGGUGCUGUGACUUGCUCUCAGGAGUAAUGCUGAAUACUGAGAAGGUUUGCACUUUGCAGCCUGUUUACUGACUGAAUUCGCAAGUUUCCCUUUCCCCCUUUCUUGUGGUAGCCCACUUAUGUAUGCCAUCAUUGAUCAUUCUGAGGCUCCUUGACCUUUCCCAAUAUUCCACUGCAAGUCAAAUGUACAAUUUCAUACUAAGAAGGACACUUUCUUGCACUAAGUGCAGAGCUUUGAAAGUGUGAAAAGCUUAAAAGCUAAAGUUGUACAACUCGGCUCAUUUUGGCUUAAAGGUUGAAUAUUUGCUUGAUUAUCUGAGAAAAAUGCAUCUGGUUGUUUGCAGGGGUAAAAGGGAACUGUGAGAGACAUAGACAGUCUAUCCUCGAGCAACUUUCCAGGCAGUAGAAGCUGGAUUACAGAAGAAUUCCUUAGAACACCUGGGCAAAUUCUGAAUUUACUGAUGCUCAGCAAAAAUCCCUGCCCCAAAUGGUCUGACUUGCCCACAGGGCACCAAUUCUGGGGCCUCAAGGAGUGCCACACAGAUCAGAGGGGAAGCUAACCCAGGCCUCUUUGACACAGGAACCAUCUUCCUCAGAUUGCUUUCAUUCCAGAUCAAAAGUUUCAUCUUGAGGAUGGGAACAUGCUG
rnacentral:lncRNA from 1 species